rnacentral:sRNA from 1 species
UUAAUGGUCAAAUUAGUUUAAAGUAUAAUUGAAUUUUAAUUUCACUGAGUCGCCGAUAAAAGUAAUUUACUUUGAGCGGCAGCCCUGUCAGCUGUUUACACUGGCAGUGUUCCAGAAGUUUCGCAAGUAAUUCCUCCCGAAUCACUACAUCGAAUUGAGGACUCUUUAGAACGAUAAAAUAAUACCCAAGGAGUUCAAAGGAGAGGUAAGAUCAUUGGCAAGUCUCAAGAUGAUGGAUUUUGAUUGUCCAUUUUCCGUAUUUCCACAGGAGUCUGCGGCAGUUGAGCGACGACCAGUUAUUGGACAACUGUAUGCGCAUUGGCCACGUGCGAAUCGAUCCGGUAUACCAGACAUGGCGCUGGAUGGGUUUCCAUUUCUGUAGGGGUCUUACACUCAUCGUGGACUCGCGCACCAUUACCAUGGUGCACCAGUCCAACAACUUAUAGCGAUUUAGCAGUAGCCGUACAGCAAUACCAUAAGCACUACACUACUGCCAACAUGGACUCGGGCAGAAGACCCCUGGGCCAUGACGAGCUUCUCUGCCGUUGUCUCAUGCUCGGGCUAAGCCCAAUUUGAUUUCUGUUUUGAAUUUUGUACCGCCUACAAUGAGCGUUGCUAUCAAAUGUAUGAUUUAUUUAUCAACUGUU